AUGCAGUCGAGCGAACAGAUAAGGAGCUUGCUCCUUUGAAGUUAGCGGCGGACGGGUGAGUAACACGUGGGUAACCUACCUAUAAGACUGGAAUAACUUCGGGAAACCGGAGCUAAUGCCGGAUAACAUAUAGAACCGCAUGGUUCUAUAGUGAAAGAUGGUUUUGCUAUCACUUAUAGAUGGACCCGCGCCGUAUUAGCUAGUUGGUAAGGUAAUGGCUUACCAAGGCGACGAUACGUAGCCGACCUGAGAGGGUGAUCGGCCACACUGGAACUGAGACACGGUCCAGACUCCUACGGGAGGCAGCAGUAGGGAAUCUUCCGCAAUGGGCGAAAGCCUGACGGAGCAACGCCGCGUGAGUGAUGAAGGUUUUCGGAUCGUAAAACUCUGUUAUUAGGGAAGAACAAAUGCGUAAGUAACUGUGCGCAUCUUGACGGUACCUAAUCAGAAAGCCACGGCUAACUACGUGCCAGCAGCCGCGGUAAUACGUAGGUGGCAAGCGUUAUCCGGAAUUAUUGGGCGUAAAGCGCGCGUAGGCGGUUUCUUAAGUCUGAUGUGAAAGCCCACGGCUCAACCGUGGAGGGUCAUUGGAAACUGGGAAACUUGAGUGCAGAAGAGGAAAGUGGAAUUCCAUGUGUAGCGGUGAAAUGCGCAGAGAUAUGGAGGAACACCAGUGGCGAAGGCGACUUUCUGGUCUGUAACUGACGCUGAUGUGCGAAAGCGUGGGGAUCAAACAGGAUUAGAUACCCUGGUAGUCCACGCCGUAAACGAUGAGUGCUAAGUGUUAGGGGGUUUCCGCCCCUUAGUGCUGCAGCUAACGCAUUAAGCACUCCGCCUGGGGAGUACGACCGCAAGGUUGAAACUCAAAGGAAUUGACGGGGACCCGCACAAGCGGUGGAGCAUGUGGUUUAAUUCGAAAGCAACGCGAAGAACCUUACCAAAUCUUGACAUCCUUUGAAAACUCUAGAGAUAGAGCCUUCCCCUUUCGGGGGACAAAGUGACAGGUGGUGCAUGGGUUGUCGUCAGCUCGUGUCGUGAGAUGUUGGGUUAAGUCCCGCA
rnacentral:rRNA from 1 species